rnacentral:rRNA from 1 species
CAGUCGCCGCGGUAAUACGAAGGGGGCUAGCGUUGCUCGGAAUGACUGGGCGUAAAGGGCGCGUAGGCGGAUGGCACAGUCAGAUGUGAAAUUCCCGGGCUUAACCUGGGGGCUGCAUUUGAUACGUGUUGUCUAGAGUGAGGAAGAGGGUUGUGGAAUUCCCAGUGUAGAGGUGAAAUUCGUAGAUAUUGGGAAGAACACCGGUGGCGAAGGCGGCAACCUGGUCCUUGACUGACGCUGAGGCGCGAAAGCGUGUGGAGCAAACAGGAUUAGAUACCCCUGUAGUCCCUGUCUCUUAUAC